rnacentral:rRNA from 1 species
AGGGGCAUCGGGGANAAGCUUGCUUAUCCGCCGGCGACCGGCGCACGGGUGCGCAACGCGUAUAGAAUCUGCCUCGUACUGGGGAAUAGCCCAGAGAAAUUUGGAUUAAUGCCCCAUGGUAUGCAACAGUGGCAUCACAGUUGCAUUAAAGGCUACGGUACGAGAUGACUAUNNCNUCCCAUUAGUUAGUUGGUAAGGUAACGGCUUACCAAGGCAGCGAUGGGUAGGGGCCCUGAGAGGGGGAUCCCCCACACUGGUACUGAGACACGGACCAGACUCCUACGGGAGGCAGCAGUGAGGAAUAUUGGACAAUGGGCGGGAGCCUGAUCCAGCCAUGCCGCGUGCAGGAAGACGGUCCUAUGGAUUGUAAACUGCUUUUGUACGGGAAGAACAAGGGGCACGUGUGCCCCUCUGACGGUACCGUAAGAAUAAGGAUCGGCUAACUCCGUGCCAGCAGCCGCGGUAAUACGGAGGAUCCGAGCGUUAUCCGGAAUCAUUGGGUUUAAAGGGUCCGUAGGCGGGCCAUUAAGUCAGGGGUGAAAGUCUGCGGCUCAACCGUAGAAUUGCCCUUGAUACUGGUGGUCUUGAGUUAUGGUGAAGUAACUAGAANAUGUAGUGNAGCGGUGAAAUGCAUAGAUNUUACAUAGAAUACCGAUUGCGAANGCAGGUUACUAACCAUAUACUGACGCUNAUGGACGAAAGCGUGGGGAGCGAACAGGAUUAGAUACCCUGGUAGUCCACGCCNUNNCNAUGGANAC